rnacentral:rRNA from 1 species
GGCGAGCCUAAUACAUGCAAGUCGAGCGAACAGACGAGAGUGCUUGCACUCUCUGAUGUUAGCGGCGGACGGGUGAGUAACACGUGGGUAACCUACCUAUAAGACUGGGAUAACUUCGGGAAACCGGAGCUAAUACCGGAUAAUAUUUCUCNNANAUGAAG